GACGAACGCUGGCGGCGUGCUUAACACAUGCAAGUCGAGCGGUAAGGCCCUUUCGGGGGUACGACGAGCGGCGAACGGGUGAGUAACACGUGGGUGACCUGCCCUUAGCUCUGGGAUAAGCCUGGGAAACUGGGCCUAAUACCGGAUAUGACUCCAUGACGCAUGUUGUGGGGUGGAAAGCCUUGUGCGGCUAGGGAUGGGCCCGCGGCCUAUCAGCUUGUUGGUGGGGUGAUGGCCUACCAAGGCGACGACGGGUAGCCGGCCUGAGAGGGCGACCGGCCACACUGGGACUGAGACACGGCCCAGACUCCUACGGGAGGCAGCAGUGGGGAAUCUUGCACAAUGGGCGAAAGCCUGACGCAGCGACGCCGCGUGGGGAUGACGGCCU
rnacentral:rRNA from 1 species